AAUAAGAUACCCACGGUAGUCCACGCCGUAAACGAUGUCGACUUGGAGGUUGUGCCCUUGAGGCGUGGCGUUCCGGAGCUAACGCGUUAAGUCGACCGCCUGGGGAGUACGGCCGCAAGGUUAAAACUCAAAUGAAUUGACGGGGGCCCGCACAAGCGGUGGAGCAUGUGGUUUAAUUCGAUGCAACGCGAAGAACCUUACCUACUCUUGACAUCCAGAGAACUUAGCAGAGAUGCUUUGGUGCCUUCGGGAACUCUGAGACAGGUGCUGCAUGGCUGUCGUCAGCUCGUGUUGUGAAAUGUUGGGUUAAGUCCCGCAACGAGCGCAACCCUUAUCCUUUGUUGCCAGCGGUUAGGCCGGGAACUCAAAGGAGACUGCCAGUGAUAAACUGGAGGAAGGUGGGGAUGACGUCAAGUCAUCAUGGCCCUUACGAGUAGGGCUACACACGUGCUACAAUGGCAUAUACAAAGAGAAGCGACCUCGCGAGAGCAAGCGGACCUCAUAAAGUAUGUCGUAGUCCGGAUUGGAGU
rnacentral:rRNA from 1 species